UAACCUGCCCAAGAGAUCGGGAUAACACCUGAAACAGAUGCUAAUACCGGAUAACAACAGAUGAUGCCUAUCAACUGUUUAAAAGAUGGUUCUGCUAUCACUCUUGGAUGGACCUGCGGUGCAUUAGCUAGUUGGUAGGGUAACGGCCUACCAAGGCGAUGAUGCAUAGCCGAGUUGAGAGACUGAUCGGCCACAUUGGGACUGAGACACGGCCCAAACUCCUACGGGAGGCAGCAGUC
rnacentral:rRNA from 1 species